AACGAACGCUGGCGGCAGGCCUAACACAUGCAAGUCGAACGCCCCGCAAGGGGAGUGGCAGACGGGUGAGUAACGCGUGGGAACCUACCCAGUGGUACGGAACAACCCAGGGAAACUUGGGCUAAUACCGUAUACGCCCUUAGGGGGAAAGAUUUAUCGCCAUUGGACGGGCCCGCGUUGGAUUAGCUAGUUGGUGGGGUAAUGGCCUACCAAGGCAACGAUCCAUAGCUGGUCUGAGAGGAUGAUCAGCCACACUGGGACUGAGACACGGCCCAGACUCCUACGGGAGGCAGCAGUGGGGAAUCUUGGACAAUGGGCGCAAGCCUGAUCCAGCCAUGCCGCGUGAGUGAAGAAGGCCCUAGGGUUGUAAAGCUCUUUCGGCGGGGACGAUAAUGACGGUACCCGCAGAAGAAGCCCCGGCUAACUCCG
rnacentral:rRNA from 2 species